rnacentral:RNase_P_RNA from 1 species
GAGAGGAGGCGCGGUGGUUGCAGAAAGAUAGCUACUAAUUAUCUUUUUGAGGAAAGUCCGGACUCCCGAAAGACCAAACUUGCUGGGUAACUCCCAGUGUAGGCAACUGCGAGGAUAGUGCCACAGAAAAAUACCGCCUUUGGGAAGUCAAAAGUAAAAAGUGAAAAAGCAAAAUAAAUGUUUUUGACUUUUAAAUUUUGAAUUUUGACUUUUUUGAGGUAAGGGUGCAAAGGUGCGGUAAGAGCGCACCAGCAACAUCGAGAGGUGUUGGCUCGGUAAACCCCAGUUGGGAGCAAGGUCGAAGAGAUAAUGGUUGGUCUUUUUCCUGUCUCGCUUAAGGUGAACCGCUUGAGGUGGUUGGUAACAGCCAUCCCAGAUAGAUAACCGCCCUAAAAAAGGCGAUUUAAGUCUUUUUUAGAACAGAAUCCGGCUUACAACUCUCUCUCUCUU